UACGGAGGGGGCUAGCGUUGUUCGGAAUUACUGGGCUUAAAGCGCGCGUAGGCGGACCUGCAAGUCGGGGGUGAAAGCCCGAGGCUCAACCUCGGAACUGCCUUCGAUACUGCGGGUCUCGAGUCCGGGAGAGGUGAGUGGAAUUCCUAGUGUGGAGGUGAAAUUCGUAGAUAUUAGGAAGAACACCAGUGGCGAAGGCGACUCACUGGACACGUAUUGACGCUGAGGUGCGAAAGCGUGGGGAGCAAACAGG
rnacentral:rRNA from 1 species